rnacentral:rRNA from 1 species
UACGAAGGGGGCGAGCGUUGUUCGGAUUUACUGGGCGUAAAGGGCGCGCAGGCGGCUCAUUUUGUCAGGCGUGAAAGCCCCGGGCUUAACCUGGGAACUGCGUUUGAUACGGAUGGGCUAGAGUUCGGGAGAGGAGAGCGGAAUUCCCAGUGUAGAGGUGAAAUUCGUAGAUAUUGGGAGGAACACCAGUGGCGAAGGCGGCUCACUGGACCGGAACUGACGCUGAGGCGCGAAAGCCAGGGGAGCAAACGGG